rnacentral:tRNA from 1 species
AGUCUUGUAGCUCAGUUUGGUUAGAGCACUACACUGAUAAUGUAGAGGUCCGGGGUUCAAAUCCACGCAGGACUA